UACGAAGGGGGCUAGCGUUGCUCGGAAUUACUGGGCGUAAAGCGCACGUAGGCGGGUCAUUAAGUCGGGGGUGAAAUCCUGGAGCUCAACUCCAGAACUGCCUCCGAAACUGAUGAUCUUGAGUUCGGGAGAGGUGAGUGGAACUGCGAGUGUAGAGGUGAAAUUCGUAGAUAUUCGCAAGAACACCAGUGGCGAAGGCGGCUCACUGGCCCGAUACUGACGCUGAGGUGCGAAAGCGUGGGGAGCAACAGGG
rnacentral:rRNA from 1 species